rnacentral:lncRNA from 1 species
AGCUACAAUCCCGAGAGCUCCCACGUGUCAGGGGUGCGCAGACGAUGCCGCCCGCCUCUCCGGGCCUGCGAGUGGGCUGGCGGAUACCGGAGUCCCUGAGGUCACCGGCGGAGAUGAUAAUUUGAUGUGAUAGAAGAUGUGCGAAAAUGAAAUCAUCAUUUAGUUUGGAAACAACCUCAGUGUCCAUCAAUAAGAAAAAGAACUAUGGAAAGCCAUCCUAUAAAACCCUCUGCAAUUUAGAAAA